rnacentral:rRNA from 1 species
GAGAAUGCCGGUGUGAGUAGCGAAAGACGGGUGAGAAUCCCGUCCACCGAUUGACUAAGGUUUCCAGAGGAAGGCUCGUCCGCUCUGGGUUAGUCGGGUCCUAAGCUGAGGCCGACAGGCGUAGGCGAUGGAUAACAGGUUGAUAUUCCUGUACCACCUAUAAUCGUUUUAAUCGAUGGGGGGACGCAGUAGGAUAGGCGAAGCGUGCGAUUGGAUUGCACGUCUAAGCAGUAAGGCUGAGUAUUAGGCAAAUCCGGUACUCGUUAAGGCUGAGCUGUGAUGGGGAGAAGACAUUGUGUCUUCGAGUCGUUGAUUUCACACUGCCGAGAAAAGCCUCUAGAUAGAAAAUAGGUGCCCGUACCGCAAACCGACACAGGUAGUCAAGAUGAGAAUUCUAAGGUGAGCGAGCGAACUCUCGUUAAGGAACUCGGCAAAAUGACCCCGUAACUUCGGGAGAAGGGGUGCUCUUUAGGGUUAACGCCCAGAAGAGCCGCAGUGAAUAGGCCCAAGCGACUGUUUAUCAAAAACACAGGUCUCUGCUAAA